UUGAUCCUGGCUCAGGAUGAACGCUAGCGGCAGGCUUAACACAUGCAAGUCGAGGGGUAUAUUUCUUCGGAGAUAGAGACCGGCGCACGGGUGCGUAACGCGUAUGCAAUCUGCCUUUCACAGAGGGAUAGCCCAGAGAAAUUUGGAUUAAUACCUCAUAGUAUUAUAGGAUGGCAUCAUUUUAUAAUUAAAGUCACAACGGUGAAAGAUGAGCAUGCGUCCCAUUAGCUAGUUGGUAAGGUAACGGCUUACCAAGGCAACGAUGGGUAGGGGUCCUGAGAGGGAGAUCCCCCACACUGGUACUGAGACACGGACCAGACUCCUACGGGAGGCAGCAGUGAGGAAUAUUGGACAAUGGGCGCAAGCCUGAUCCAGCCAUGCCGCGUGCAGGAUGACGGUCCUAUGGAUUGUAAACUGCUUUUGUACGAGAAGAAACACUGAUUCGUGAAUCAGCUUGACGGUAUCGUAAGAAUAA
rnacentral:rRNA from 1 species